rnacentral:rRNA from 1 species
AUUGAACGCUGGCGGCAUGCCUUACACAUGCAAGUCGAACGGUAACAGGUCUUCGGAUGCUGACGAGUGGCGAACGGGUGAGUAAUACAUCGGAACGUGCCUAGUAGUGGGGGAUAACUACUCGAAAGAGUGGCUAAUACCGCAUGAGAUCUACGGAUGAAAGCAGGGGAUCGCAAGACCUUGUGCUACUAGAGCGGCCGAUGGCAGAUCAGGUAGUUGGUGGGAUAAAAGCUUACCAAGCCGACGAUCUGUAGCUGGUCUGAGAGGACGAUCGGCCACACUGUGACGGAGAAGCGGCCCAGACUCCUCCGGGAGGCAGCAGUGGGGAAUUUUGGACAAUGGGCGAAAGCCUGAUCCAGCAAUGCCGCGUGCAGGAUGAAGGCCUUCGGGUUGUAAACUGCUUUUGUACGGAACGAAAAGCUCUGGGUUAAUACCCUGGGGUCAUGACGGUACCGUAAGAAUAAGCACCGGCUAACUACGUGCCAGCCGCCGCGGUAACAC